GGGGGGGGGGGGGGGGGGGGGGGGGGGGGGGGGGGGGGGGGGGGGGGGGGGGGGGGGGGGGGGGGGGGGGGGGGGGGGGGGGGGGGGGGGGCGCGGCUCCGGCGGCCCCGCCAUCCCCGGCGCGGCCGGGCGGGCCCAGCCCGGGCCGGCACAGCCCUGUGCGGCCCGGCCCGCCCCGCUCCGCCCCGCGGGCCGGCGAUGGCAGCGGGUCACGGCACAUCCCUGCCCUGCAGUGCGCUCCCCGCGCUCCCCGGGCUCGGUGCUGCUGCCUUUAGGUGUGUGGGACAGCCUGCUGCCGGAACGGCGACGGGUUCGUGGGUGCGAUGGCCAGGGCCUUCCCUUUGGGGUGUUCCCCAAGGACACAGAUUGAGCACUGUGGACACGUGUGGUUUUGUGUAUUUUUGUAUAUCUUCGCGUUUAGAAAGGCAGUUUUCCUUAUGGACUGUACAUAUGAGAGUAUUAUAUAAGGAACCUGUGAGUGCUAUACAGCUGGCAGUUUGCAAGCUGAUUCUUAAUCCAAAAAGCUGA
rnacentral:lncRNA from 1 species